rnacentral:lncRNA from 1 species
GGCUCGACAGACGGGAUCUCCCAGCCUUCUCCUUAUGAGAUCUGAACAGUUUAUGAUCUGCUGGCCAUCACUGCUACCUGGAAAGACCACUCUGACAGAGGCACCUGUCCUAGACUAAGGACCUUCUGGGGACAUUUCCAACCUAGACCCCAUGGAGGCCAAUCGGAAGGAGAAUAUUCCACCCUGGCCAGGAGGCCCCCUGAAAUCAGACCGACAGCUGGUUCCGAAGAACGUGAACAUCGGCCUCUCUGUGGGCAGCGGGCGAGCUACCAUGGCGGGGUCUCGCUCUCCCAUCAAAACUCAGAGGCAGAGUCCAGCCGCUCCUCCAGGCCAAGGCCUGCAGCUGGAAGGGCCUGUAGCCAGCAGCCAGGAGGCGAGGUACCUCUCCUCUGGGGUUCAGACCAACCUGGCUCCUGUGGGCCAGUCCCUGCCCAGGGCCGCCGGCCUGGUGAGUAACUCUUGCUUUGAGCAGCAGAGCAACCUGUGGCUCCAAGCCCGGAGGCCCAGGGCAUCUGGGAAGUGGACAGGGCUUUCCUCCCAGCAAAGCAACGUGGAGCUGAGCAGAGCAGACCCAGAGAGGAGAGGGGGAGCCAGGAGCCCCCACCUAAAGGAGCCGGCCUGGAGCCUGGGGGGCUGCUCGUGGGAGCUCUUGUGGUCCGGACAUUCUGGAGGCGUCCCCUGGCCCUCCGGGUCAGACAGCCAGACCCACAGGCUCCCGUUGCUGAGGGACCGACCAUCAUCUUCCUUCCCCGGCCCUGGGAGCACCGUACACAUCUCACCAAAAGCCACAAAAGCCUGGGGGUCCAAGCGGAGCCCUUCCCCUCCAUCUGGCCAUCAGGGUUGUCUUGUCCAGCCCAGCACAAGUUACCUGGGUUACUGGGCCCCAAACUCC